GACGUAGGGGGCAAGCGUUGUCCGGAAUUAUUGGGCGUAAAGAGCUCGUAGGCGGUUUGUCGCGUCUGCCGUGAAAGUCCGGGGCUCAACUCCGGAUCUGCGGUGGGUACGGGCAGACUAGAGUGAUGUAGGGGAGACUGGAAUUCCUGGUGUAGCGGUGAAAUGCGCAGAUAUCAGGAGGAACACCGAUGGCGAAGGCAGGUCUCUGGGCAUUAACUGACGCUGAGGAGCGAAAGCAUGGGGAGCGAACAGG
rnacentral:rRNA from 1 species